GAUGAACGCUGGCGGCGUGACUAAUACAUGCGAGUCGAGCGAACGGACGAGAAGCUUGCUUCUCUGAUGUUAGCGGCGGACGGGUGAGUAACACGUGGAUAACCUACCUAUAAGACUGGGAUAACUUCGGGAAACCGGAGCUAAUACCGGAUAAUAUUUUGAACCGCAUGGUUCAAAAGUGAAAGACGGUCUUGCUGUCACUUAUAGAUGGAUCCGCGCUGCAUUAGCUAGUUGGUAAGGUAACGGCUUACCAAGGCAACGAUGCAUAGCCGACCUGAGAGGGUGAUCGGCCACACUGGAACUGAGACACGGUCCAGACUCCUACGGGAGGCAGCAGUAGGGAAUCUUCCGCAAUGGGCGAAAGCCUGACGGAGCAACGCCGCGUGAGUGAUGAAGGUCUUCGGAUCGUAAAACUCUGUUAUUAGGGAAGAACAUAUGUGUAAGUAACUGUGCACAUCUUGACGGUACCUAAUCAGAAAGCCACGGCUAACUACGUG
rnacentral:rRNA from 1 species